rnacentral:tRNA from 1 species
GGCCUUAUAUUCAAUUAUGAUUCUAGACUGCAAUUCUAGAGGUGUGAAAUUUUACUAAGGCCU